rfam:Sphaerobolus stellatus SS14 unplaced genomic scaffold SPHSTscaffold_24, whole genome shotgun sequence.
GGCGCAAUAGCUCAGUGGUAGAGGAUACGAUUGCGAAUCGUGGGGUGCCGAGUUUAAACCUUGGUUGCACCU